UUGUGAUUGCCGAAACUCAAAGAAAAGAAAUAGGAAAAAAUUUAGGAACAUUCGGUCACUUGGAAGCUCAAAUUCAAGGUAUGUUUUGGUUGGUUUUUGAUAAUUUUUAUGUUUUUGAGAUCGUUGCUUCGAGUACUAUCCGACCCAUGCUUGAAUUUUUGAUUUUGAUGAAUAUUUUGAGCUAUGCCAUUGAUGAAUAAUUGUGUUUUGUGAUGUUUGAUAAUGAAUAAUGAAAGAUAUGUUUUAGAUUAAUAUGUUUUGUAUUGGAAUUUUUGGUGAAAUUGAGUAAAUAGGGUGAAAUUGUAAAAAUAAUAUUUUUAGAGACUAAAAUGUGAAAUAAAUGAAAUGAGUGGACUUGUAUGAAGACAAGGAACAUUCGGCCCUAGCUUAGUGUGGGCAAAUUUUGUAUAUUUUGUGUUUUGUGCAAAAAGGACUAAAUUGCAAAAAGUGUAAAAUGUUAGGGGCAAAAUAGUAAUUUUCCCAUUUAUGUAUUUUUGGACUUAAUUGAAUAUUUUGAUGAAUAAAAAGGUUAAAUAUAGAUCAAGAAACAAAGAGAGCGGAUUUGGAUCGGGGAAAAACGAAAGUAAUCGAAUAGUCGAUCGUGUCCGUUGAUAUCCGAGGUAAGUCUAUUAGCAAUUAAAAUUUAUUAAGUUAAUAUUUAUACAUGUAUACUAAUUGUAUUUUGUGUUGAGCUAUAAUUAAAAGUAUAUUGAUUGAAUAAAUUUUGAAGUAUGGAUGAUAUUUACAUAUAUAGCAUGUUCGAAUAUACAAGUAUAAUCUUGUAUAGAUUUAUGGGUUGAAAUAAAGGUCAGAAAUGUAUAAGAGUAUAAUUGAUAUUCGAAUAAGCAUGUAUAUAUAUAUAUAUAUAUAUAUGUAUAUAUAAAAUGCUAGAAUAUAUAUACAUAUAUAUAUAUAUAUAUAAAAGUUAUUGAAAUUAGUUAAAAUAUGAAUGUUGCAUAGGUUUAAAUUCUUGAUUUUAAUCAAAGGAAUGUAUAAUAUAUAUAUAUAUAUAUAUAUAUAUAUAUGGUGCGAAUAUAUAUAUGUAGGUAUAUAUAUAUGUAUAAACUCUUGGAUUUAUUUAAAGUUAUGUAACUCAUGAUUGUAUGAGAAGUUUCGAAUAGAUAUGUAUAUGUGAAUUGUAAUUUAUAUGUAUAUGUUAUAUUUGAAUAAGCAUGCUUACAUAUAUGUAUAUGUUCUUGUAAUGAAUUUUAAGUAUGAGUGUUAUAUAUAUAUGCAUAAAUGAAGUUCGAAUAUGUACAUAUAUAUAUAAAUGUACAUCUAUUGUAUAUUUGAUGAGCUAAAAUUAAAAGUAUAUGUAUUGAAAAUUAGUUGAGUAUGAAUGUUAUAUAUAUGCAUAUGUGUGAGGUUCGAAUAUAUAGUUAUGUAUAUAUAUAUAUGUACAGGUAUAAUGUCUUGUAUUGAAAUUAGGUAUGGAAUUAUAUAUUGAUAUACAUGGUUGAAUGUAUAUGUAUAUAUAUGUUUAAGAUUUGCAUUGAAUUAAAAGUAUAAAUUUUAAAUGCUUGUAUGAUUCGAACAUGGACUACAAAUUUUCUUGGGAUAGAGUUGAGAUUGUGAAUUAUAUAUAAAUGUUAUGAAUGUGUGUUGCUAUUAAGAAAUAUACGAGAAAUCAUCCUUGUAUCUGUGAAAUUGAGAUUUUCAGGCUAAGCGCCUAGCAGGCUUAAUGCCAGUGAAUUUUUCAGACUUUAAGUCUAGCAGGCUAUGUGCCGGUGAUCUGAAUCAGGUUAUAAACCUAGCAGGCUACGUGUUGGUGAUCUGAAUCAGGCUAUAAGUCUAGCGGGCUAUGUGCCAUUGAAUUUGUUUUAAUUAAGUGAUUGUAUACAUUGAAUAUAUAUAUGUAUAUGAUUUGGUUAUUUAUAUCGGAUUAAUAUAUGAACAUCUGUUGCUAUAUUUUUUAUGAGCAUAUAAAAGCUCGAAUCUUUGUGUCUGGUGAGUAUAUAUAUCUAUGCGUUCGGCAUAUGUGAACUAAAGUAUAUAUAUAUAUAUAUAUAUGUGCAUUCGGCACAUGUGGUUGAUAAGUAUAAUUAUUUGCUAUUGACAUAUGUAUAUGAAAGAUCAUAAACAUGCAUUCAAUGAAAUGCAAUGAUAAGUAUAUUUGGAAUUUAUAUAUGCGAUUAAUGAUGAUGUAUAUAACUUGAUUUUUAGGUAUAUAAUGAUAAUACAAAUGAUCGUUUAUAUGUAUUUUGGAUAUGCUAUAAACUUACUGAGCUAUAGAAGCUUACUUUGAUUGUUUUUUUGUUUAUUUGUUUAUAGAUUUUGGAGACACGUUACGAGCUCGGGGAUCGUCAGCAUAGCCUAUCACACUAUCGACUUCUUUUGGUAUUUUGUUAACAGUUUGAACUUGAUCUUAUGGCAUGUAUAGGUUUGAGUAUGAUUUUGGUUAAAUUUGGAUUGUAUAAAAUAAUUAGCCAUGUGAAUAUGGUUUAAUUUCUAUGUUUGUGAUCGGUUUGGUUUUUAAAAAAAAAAUGGUUGUGUCAGUUCGGUAAUGCCUCGUAACCCUAAUUCGACGACGGAUAUGGGUUAGGGGUGUUACAAUGAUUAUUAAAUUAAAGACUUGUUUUUGGCAUCACAUUCCAUUGAAUUUGAUGUGUUUUUUUUCUUCUUCUUUUUUGUUCAACAUUGAAUUUGAUGUGUUCAUGGUUUACUUUUUUGAGCUAUUAUGAUUUA
rnacentral:lncRNA from 1 species